rnacentral:sRNA from 1 species
GUCCUGGGUGAUGCCUGCGAGGCGGCAGGCUCAGAGGGAGCGCGACCGGCAGCCCUCCCACAGCCGCACCGCCGCACCUACCACGGUCGGCCAUGGCAGUCUCCAGGCAGUCCAGCGUCUGCUCAUCAUCACACAGGUCAUAGGGCAUGUUCCCGUCGGUGUUGACCGCCAGGAGAUUGGCGCCACUGCAGGGAAGACGGACAGGGUGCUGGGCACAAGGCCCUUCCCCGCUUGCCAGGCUCCUCACUUGGAGAAGUCCCCGCCAGGGCCCCUCAGCCCAGGGCUGCCCCUCAGGAGGCACCCUGUCCACCUGCUGCUGGGAGAGGCGGCCUUGGGGCCCAUCGGCUGUCCUAGAUCCUGUCAUUAAGCCAGACAGGCCUCCUGCAGUCUCUAUCCAUCCAGGGCUCCAGGUUCCUGGCACCUCCAGGGGCAGCGGUGCCCCCAUAAACAUGCAUUGGAUGGGCCUGCCUGCUGGGGAGCAGGGAUCCCAGGGAGCACAGGGUGGCGGGGGCGCAGGACCAGGCAGCCACGCUGAGGGGCUGCUGAGCUGUGGGGAGCAUGGCCCCAGGGAAGAAGGGCAGUGAAGCGGAGCCCAGAACACAGAAGGGGGUGCCUGUGUGCAGUGGAGGAGCAGGCCUACCUGUGGACACCCCACAUCCCCGCCCGCCCCGCAGCGCCUGUGUGUGACGCGACCGCCAUCCACACCCCACCCGGCCUCACAGGGGCACUCGAGAAUGACCGCAGCCCUGACCUCUCUCCCACUACAGAUGCCUGGAGCAAAGGGGAAGGGAGGGGGCUCAUGGACCCUCCCUGCUCAGAGCUCCCCCUGCUCUACGUCCCUCUGUGUUAAAGGUAAAGGCCCUACCUGUGCUCAGGUACCCUCUCCUCCCAAGCCACCUGCUUCCCUCCUUAGCAGUUCUGCCCUCCUCACUGACCAAGACAUUUCUCUGUGCACACUCUGGGGGGGCCCAAGGCCUGCCCUCUCGGCAGGAGGACGAAUGCUGGGGAGGCAGAGACCGCGCUGCCCUGGGCACAUGCCCAUUCCCCUGGAGCCCCAGGCCCUGCUCUCCAUGCCAGGACACAGGCAGGGUCAGCAAAGGUGAAGGCGGGAACACAGGAGGCCGAGAGCCACAGAUACUGCCCAAGAGGAGCCUCCUGAGCGGCCAUCUGAGAGGAAGCCUCUCCCUGCCACGGACGCCCAGCAGGCCCUACCUGGCGAUGAGCAGCUCCACCAGGUGCAGGUGGCCGCAGGUGGCCGCAGCAUGCAGAGGCGUCCAACACUCACUGUCACAGGCAUUGAUGUUGGCCCCAGCCUCCAGGAGCUGCUGCACCAUCUCUCGGAAAUCAUCAAUGCAGCACUGCAAACCGUGCCACGUGAGCGACCAGAGCACGGGGGCCAACCCCCACCCUGCCCACACCCAGUGCAGGCUGACCUGGUGCAGGGCCGUCAGGCCGUCCUCGUUGGCCAAGUCAGGGCUAACCCCACUCCCAAGGAACUGGCGGACUGCAAAAAGGUGGCGAGGUGAGGACAGGGUCCUGCCCCUGGUCAGGUCCUGUCAACUGUGCUUCGGCCCAGGACCCAGGGAAGGACAAGGAAGACAGUGGUGCCGAUGGCAGGAGGCACACCAGAGCCCAGGGGUGGGGGCAGAAGCACCAGGCAUCUGUCUGGCCCAGGCCGGUCACACUCCCAGAAGCCCUCUGCCUCCACCCACCUGCAGGCCCUUCAUGGUGGUGCUCCAGCCCUCCGACCCCCAGAACAGGCCGUGCUCCUGUGUGAGAGCAGCACUCCAACAAUCCCACACCUCCCUCCAGCCCAGGAAGAGCUCCCUGCCUGGAGGCUACCGCAGCUCCUUCGGCUCUUCCCUGACAACCUGCCAGCCCUGUGUUCAUGAGCUCUCCUGGGUCCUCUGGGACCUGACCUGAGGCUCCCCACCACCACAGCACAUCCCUGCUCUCACUCCCCUCCCCAUCAAAGAUCCCAACUCGGGCCCAGCUCUCGCCCAGGUCACCAGGGUUCUCCCUGACGGUGCCUGGGGUGCAGCAGGAGGGCUCCCACCUUCCCACAGCUCCCUGUGGACCAUGGCACCCUCCGCCUCUUCCCUCUGCCUCCAGGCCUCCCGGGAGGGCUCCUGUCCACAUGGGAAGAUGCAGGCCAGACACUGCCGGCUCCUCUUUACUCUCUGCUCCGGAGGGAGGCAGGAAGGAGUCUCAAGGGCCACCACAGUGCCUCUUCCCCCCAGACCCCAGAGCACCAGAAGUGGAACCCACACAGCUGGGGCUGCAAGCGUGGGGCACAGAUCAUUUCGGGCAGCGGCCUCCAGAAGGACAACACUGGGAGGGAAGAGGACCUGCUUCAGGGGCCCUUGGCUGGCUGCCUCCUUCCGGGGACGCUCCCCAGGACCCUUCUUGCCCUGGGCCUCCUUCUCAGCCUGGGCCCACAUCUUCACCUGCUGGGCGCGCCGCUUCUGGGCAUGCUUCAGCCGCUCCUGUGUGCUCAUCCUGCCCACCAUGGGCAUCUCUGCCAGCAGCUCCAGGUGCUCGGCCAUGGCGGCGGCUGCUUGCCCACAGGGCUGCUCGGGGCACCAGAGUGGGGAGCUUGGGGGCCAGGCUGGGCCUGAGGGGUGGGGCAGCUAGCUGGACUGGCACCCUCGGGGGCAUCCCCUUCCCAGAGCUUCGUGCCCUUGGCUGGGUCAGGAGGCCCCACACAAUAACCAGGCCCAGGCAGCCCUGGGGGGCACGGGCCGGGGCAGGGAGGGCAGUGUGGGAGGGCACCCCAAACCUGCUCCCCAGGCCAGCCUCUAGCUGUCGACCAGCAGCGCCUCGCCUCCCUCUCGGGGUCAGGGUGCACAACCUAUGGGAGGCAGCCCCGAGACCUGGCCGGCCUCAGUCCAGGGUCUGAAACUAAUUACCCAGAUAACAAGGUUCCAGCUUCCUGGCACCUUGCUGAGGGGGAAGGGAGGGCAGGACCAACCAGCAGUGAGAGCCCCUGUGAGCCCCUGAGAGUCCUCUUUUCACCUUCUAGGCUCAGGAGCCUGGGUGGGGCCUGGGAGCAGCCAUGACCCAGCCCUCAACCCCUCCCAGCUGUGUGCCGAGGUCAGCGCAUCAGUACUAAUGAGGAGGUGCAGCCGCUGAGGCUGGGGGAGGGCAGGUAGUCAGAGUCCUGGAGUCCUGGCCCCAGGGCCCAGGGGUGAGGCUCUCUAGGCAGCCAGGGCACCAAGGGCACAGGCGGGCCGGCCGCAGUGUCUUCAGGAGCACCUCCUCUUCCGGCAGCUGCUCACACCUGAGAAGUGGGGAACGAGGAAGCAUAUCAAGGCCAGCUUGAGGCAGGGUGGCCCCGGGGAGCCCCUGCUCUGGGCCUCAGCCUGGGCGACAGAGCGAGACUCCG